rnacentral:misc_RNA from 1 species
AAGUCGUAACGGUUUCCGUAGGUGAACCUGCGGAAGGAUCAUUAAGACGUAUCCAACGUUUAACCACCCGUGCACCUUCAUCGAAUACCCGUCGCUACGAUUUCUUGCGGAGAUUGCUUGGGCUGGACUGAGAGAGUUGAAGCAGUCUUGAGAGACCAAGUGGAUGAGGGAAGCGAGUUGCGAGUGAAGGUGAGUUAUGCGGUGCCGGCUCUGCUGGGUGCCGUGAGCAUGCCUUUGGCUCUCUCUCGAGAGGUUUACAUACCGCGGCAAAACUUGACAACUUUAACCAACCGCGCUUCAGCCAAAAGCUGGAGUCGGAAACCCUGAACAACUGUUAGCAAUGGAUAUCUUGGCUCUC